rnacentral:rRNA from 1 species
UGGGAUAGGUGUGGGGGACAUUCCACGUUUUCCGCGCCGUAGCUAACGCAUUAAGUGCCCCGCCUGGGGAGUACGGCCGCAAGGCUAAAACUCAAAGGAAUUGACGGGGGCCCGCACAAGCGGCGGAGCAUGCGGAUUAAUUCGAUGCAACGCGAAGAACCUUACCAAGGCUUGACAUGGACCGGAUCGCUGCAGAGAUGUAGUUUCCCUUCGGGGCUGGUUCACAGGUGGUGCAUGGUUGUCGUCAGCUCGUGUCGUGAGAUGUUGGGUUAAGUCCCGCAACGAGCGCAACCCUUGUCCUAUGUUGCCAGCACGUGAUGGUGGGGACUCAUGGGAGACUGCCGGGGUCAACUCGGAGGAAGGUGGGGAUGACGUCAAAUCAUCAUGCCCCUUAUGUCUUGGGCUUCACGCAUGCUACAAUGGCCGGUACAGUGGGUUGCGAUACUGUGAGGUGGAGCUAAUCCCUAAAAGCCGGUCUCAGUUCGGAUCGAAGUCUGCAACUCGACUUCGUGAAGUUGGAGUCGCUAGUAAUCGCAGAUCAGCAAUGCUGCGGUGAAUACGUUCCCGGGCCUUGUACACACCGCCCGUCAAGUCACGAAAGUCGGUAACACCCGAAGCUCACGGCCCAACCCCUUGUGGGAGGGAGUGGUCGAAGGUGGGACCGGCGAUUGGACUAAGUCGUA